AUUUGAUUUCAUUACAGAUCAUAAAUGCAUACCUCACAAUUACACAGGCAUUUCACUGAGGCAGGCAAAGGCAGGGGCUUUCUACUGGAGUCCUUCCAAAUGACUGACAUUUGGCAAGGAAAGAACAAAGGACUGAGGAAGGUGAUAAAUGUGAAUACACUGAAUAUCAGGGAGGAUUUGUUUAAUCAUGUUCCUUCACUUGUAGGCCUUUUUCUUUCUUUGUCCUAUGAUUAUUUAUUCUGCAUCUUAAUAAUAUUGCUUCUGAGAAAACCUGUUUAAUUUUCUGUGUUCUAUAUUGCAUAAAUGUAGGUAGAUCCUCUGGAUUAUGACGUCAUGGUUGGAGCUGCUUGCGAGCACCAACAUUGGACACUAACUUUGGCUAUAAUCACAAUAUACAGCUCCUGUUUGAAUAAUCCCUGUUUGCCUUUUCUAAUUUGUCGAGGUGAUGUAUCCUAAACAGAGGCACUCCGUGUAUGUGGAUCCUUUUGGGGCACAUGAGGACGCAUUAAAAAAAUGCAGUGCAGUGACCAGGGCUUUCAUGAGGCAGCGAGGCCACAACUCCUCCUGUGAAACAGUUUCACACGCUCCUCAAGAGGAUGCAACCUCAUGUGGUGUUAUUGUGUCUAAAGUAAGUGAACGUGCUUUGAAUCAACCAGUUCAGAAAUAAAUGGUUGAACUGUU